rnacentral:rRNA from 1 species
UUUAAGUGAAGAGUUUGAUCCUGGCUCAGAGUGAACGCUGGCGGCAGGCCUAACACAUGCAAGUCGAACGGCAGCACAGUAAGAGCUUGCUCUUACGGGUGGCGAGUGGCGGACGG